rnacentral:lncRNA from 1 species
AUGGAGAGCAAUAUCAUUUGGGGGUUCAAUUGAUGGAGAUGCGGUGCUAGUCAAAAGCUACAGGAAAUAAUUUAAACGGUAAAGAGAAUCAAAUAUUUGCAUCAUUAGAUAUUCAGCUGGUUUAUUCAUAUGGCUUCUCUUUUCGGAACAUAUUUUUCUUCAAACUUUUAAGUUUAAAGGUGUAGCUUUCUUAUUCAUAUAAUGUUUUCUUUUGUAUACAGUAAGAGCUUUUUAAAAAUUUGUAAAGAAAACUUAAAUAAACAAAACCAGUCAAAAGCUACAGGAAAAGUGUCUCAAGAAAGCCAAUGCUAAAUGCACACGUUACAAAUAAUUCAAAGAACCCUGUACGAAGACCAGAGAAUUUAAUGCACUAGAAAUGAAAAUUAGCCUACCAGAAAAACUAAAACACGUGACAAAAUCAAAGCUGAAGAUAAAGAAAGAGAAAAUCUAUAAACAUAAAUAAAUAAAUGAAAUUUCAGCAGCAUGCAAAACAAAUGAACUUGGUACAGAAAAUGUGGUUAAAGAAUCUUUUGCUCAUUAAAACUACUAAACUAAUUAUUUGUUGAGAUAAAAAGUUUACAGCUUCUAUUUCAAACAAUUUAUUUUCUUAUUAAUUUAUUAUUGUUUUUUUUAUAUAAACAACUUCAAUGUGCACGUUCCUAAUCACUCACGAUGUAUAUAUUGAUGUAUGAAAACGCGAUAAGCAAAUUCGUAGUUUUGAUAAGCAAUCCCGAACAUCCACUAAAAGAGUGAAAGAAAACUCAACAUGGUUCAGAGACGACUAAAGAACUGAUCUAAGUGUUUAACUAUAAUAUAUACAAGAGUUAAAUGUGUAAGUAACUACAAAUAAGAUCAAGAGAGUGGUCUUUAUUAAUGAACAUGAGUGAUCUCUAUAUGUUUUAAAUAGCUUAUUAAAUCCCUCCACAAAAGAAAGAACAAGAAAAAACAAAUAAUAACACUAUAACUCCAGUUCACAUAUAUUCUCUAAACUAUCUUAACAUUAUAAUAUAUAGAGAUUAUCACACCAAUUAAUCAUGCGUGAGGAGAAGAGGUAUUAAUCGAAUACAAGUCUUUGAUAUCGAAAUCAUCCCAAAAUAUAACAUAAUUAUAAUAUUUGCUUGAACAGAUAUAUAUUAAGAGCAGGGGCGGAUCCAGCCCACAUUUGUUGGUUCCUAGAAACCGAGUGUGCGCGUUUG